rnacentral:rRNA from 1 species
AUUGAACGCUGGCGGCAGGCUUAACACACGCAAGUCGAGCGGGGACUUCGGUCCUAGCGGCGAACGGGUGAGGAAUGCUUGGGAAAUCUGCCCAGUAGCGGGGGAUAACGUUUCGAAAGGAACGCUAAUACCGCAUACGCCCUACGGGGGAAAGGGGGGGAUCUUCGGACCUCUCACUACUGGAUGAGCCCAAGUCGGAUUAGCUAGUUGGUCGGGUAAAGGCCUACCAAGGCGACGAUCCGUAGCUGGUCUGAGAGGACGAUCAGCCACACUGGAACUGAGACACGGUCCAGACUCCUACGGGAGGCAGCAGUGGGGAAUAUUGGACAAUGGGCGAAAGCCUGAUCCAGCCAUGCCGCGUGUGUGAAGAAGGCCUUCGGGUUGUAAAGCACUUUAAGCGAGGAGGAAUGGCUCUUAGUUAAUAACCUUGAGCAGUGACGUUACUCGCAGAAUAAGCACCGGCUAACUCUGUGCCAGCCGCCGCAGUAA